GACAGGGGAAGUCCAAAAGCUUGGAGAGGCUUGUUAGAAAUCACCAUCACAGAUCAGGUCACUUUGCUUGAUCCUCUAGAUACACUGAGGCCCCGGUUAGUUUUGGUAUUUCAUUGACCAGUCUAUUUGAAUCUCAUCACCUCCAGAAAGGCUUCAGCUAAUCUCAUCACUUAACACAUGCCUGGUUUGAGUAAGGGAUGAGCACCGUAAUAUUCAGACCUUGCAGGAAUACAAAUGAACAACAUGUUAUCCCUAUUUGCAGUACUUUUUUCUAAUUUUCAAAGAAUGCUAACAAAAUUGAGAAGUUAUAGACUAACCGUUUUAAAGUAUUACUAAAAAACAGACUUAAGCAACUUUCAAGACAUAGAAAGAACCUGGCAUGUGGGAAUUGCCAUGUGCCUCUGCGAUGUGAAGACUGCCUCAGGUGGAUGUCUCUCCUUGGGAAAGUGAAGAGAAUGACCUGGUGAAAGUGAAGUUAAAAUUCUCUUGGCCUAUCCUUAUCCUGGCCUCCCUAUUCCCUGUGACACAACAAUAUUGAAAUUAGGCCAAUUAAUAACCUUACAAUGGCCUCCAAGUGUUCAAGUGAAAGAAGAGUCAAUAGAUGCUGUAAACUUGUUUUCUCAUUUUAAGAAACUGCCACAGCUACCUCAACCUUCAGCAACCACCACCCUGAUAAGUCAGCAGCCAUCAACAUCCAGGCGAGACCCUCCACUAACAAAAAGAUUAUCAUUCA